rnacentral:rRNA from 1 species
GGUUUGGAUUAUGGCUCAGAUUGAACGCUGGCGGGAUGUUUACACAUGCAAGUCGAACGGCAGCACGGACUUCGGUCUGGUGGCGAGUGGCGAACGGGUGAGUAAUGCAUCGGAACAUGCCUAGUAGCGGGGAUAACUACGAAAGCGUAGCCAAUACGCAUACGCCCUUCGGGGGAAAGUAAUCUUCGGGCCUCGCACUAAUAGAGCGGUCGAUAUCGGAUUAGCUAGUUGGUGGGGUAACGGCUCACUAAGGCGACGAUCCGUAGCUGGUUUGAGAGGACGACCAGCCACACCGGGACUGAGGACAUCGCCCAGACUCCUGCCGUAUGGAGGCAGCAGUGGGGAAUUUUGGACAAUGGGGGAAACCCCUGAUCCAGCCAUCCCGCGUGUGCGAUGAAGGCCUCGGGUUGUAAAGCACUUUUGGCAGAAGAAAACGGCACGGGAUAAUACCUCGUGCAACUGACGGGUACCGCAAGAAUAAGCACCGGCUAACUACGUGCCAGCAGCCGCGGUAAUACGUAGGGUGCAAGCGUUAAUCGGAAUUACUGGGCGUAAAGCGUGCGCAGGCGGUUCGGAAAGAAAGAUGAAAUCCCAGAGCUUAACCUUGGAACUGCAUUUUUAACUGACGAGCCAGAGUGUGUCAGAGGGAGGUGGAAUUCGCGUAGCAGUGAAAUGCAGAUAUGGAGGAGCACCGAUGGCGAAGGCAGCCUCCUGGGAUAACACUGACGCCUCAUGCAUCGAAAGCGUGGGGAGCAAACAGGAUUAGAUACCCUGGUGUCCACGCCCUAAACGAUGUCAUAACUAGCUGCUGGGGCCUUCGGCUCGGUGCGCAGCUAACGCGUGAAGUUGACCGCCUGGGGAGUACGGUCGCAAGAUUAAACCUCAAAGGAAUUCACGUAAUUCCCGCACAAGCGGUGGAUGAUGUGGAUUAAUUCGAUGCAACGCGAAAAACCUUACCUACCCUUGACAUGUCUGGAAUCCCGGAAGAGAUUUGGGAGUGCUCGCAAGAGAACCGAACACAGGUGCUGCAUGGCUGUUUCGUCAGCUCGUGUCGUGAGAUGUUGGGUUAAGUCCUACAACGAGCAACCCUUUGUCAUUAGUUGCUACGAAAGGGCACCUCCACGAGACUGCCGGUGACAAACCGAGGAAGGUGGUGGGGAUGACGUCAAGUCCUCAUGGCCCUUAUGGGUAGGCUUCAACACGUCAUACAAUGGUCGGGACAGAGGGUCGCCAACCUGCGAGGGGGAGCUAAUCCCAGAAACCCGGAUCGUAGUCCGAUCGCAGUCUGCAACCUCGACCGCGUGAAGUCGGAAUCGCUAGUAAUCGCGGAUCAGCAUGUCGCGGUGUGAAUACGUUCCCGGUCUUGUACACACUGCCCGUCACACCAUGGGAGUGGGUUUUACCAGGCGUAGUUAGCCUAACUGUAAGGAGGGCGAUUACCACGGUAGAUUCAUGACUGGGGUGAAGUCGUAACAAGGUAG